rnacentral:rRNA from 1 species
AGAGUUUGAUCAUGGCUCAGAUUGAACGCUGGCGGCAGGCCUAACACAUGCAAGUCGAACGGUAACAGGAAGCAGCUUGCUGCUUCGCUGACGAGUGGCGGACGGGUGAGUAAUGUCUGGGAAGCUGCCUGAUGGAGGGGGAUAACUACUGGAAACGGUAGCUAAUACCGCAUAAUGUCGCAAGACCAAAGAGGGGGACCUUCGGGCCUCUUGCCAUCGGAUGUGCCCAGAUGGGAUUAGCUUGUUGGUGGGGUAACGGCUCACCAAGGCGACGAUCCCUAGCUGGUCUGAGAGGAUGACCAGCCACACUGGAACUGAGACACGGUCCAGACUCCUACGGGAGGCAGCAGUGGGGAAUAUUGCACAAUGGGCGCAAGCCUGAUGCAGCCAUGCCGCGUGUAUGAAGAAGGCCUUCGGGUUGUAAAGUACUUUCAGCGGGGAGGAAGGGAGUAAAGUUAAUACCUUUGCUCAUUGACGUUACCCGCAGAAGAAGCACCGGCUAACUCCGUGCCAGCAGCCGCGGUAAUACGGAGGGUGCAAGCGUUAAUCGGAAUUACUGGGCGUAAAGCGCACGCAGGCGGUUUGUUAAGUCAGAUGUGAAAUCCCCGGGCUCAACCUGGGAACUGCAUCUGAUACUGGCAAGCUUGAGUCUCGUAGAGGGGGGUAGAAUUCCAGGUGUAGCGGUGAAAUGCGUAGAGAUCUGGAGGAAUACCGGUGGCGAAGGCGGCCCCCUGGACGAAGACUGACGCUCAGGUGCGAAAGCGUGGGGAGCAAACAGGAUUAGAUACCCUGGUAGUCCACGCCGUAAACGAUGUCGACUUGGAGGUUGUGCCCUUGAGGCGUGGCUUCCGGAGCUAACGCGUUAAGUCGACCGCCUGGGGAGUACGGCCGCAAGGUUAAAACUCAAAUGAAUUGACGGGGGCCCGCACAAGCGGUGGAGCAUGUGGUUUAAUUCGAUGCAACGCGAAAAACCUUACCUGGUCUUGACAUCCACGGAAGUUUUCAGAGAUGAGAAUGUGCCUUCGGGAACCGUGAGACAGGUGCUGCAUGGCUGUCGUCAGCUCGUGUUGUGAAAUGUUGGGUUAAGUCCCGCAACGAGCGCAACCCUUAUCCUUUGUUGCCAGCGGUCCGGCCGGGAACUCAAAGGAGACUGCCAGUGAUAAACUGGAGGAAGGUGGGGAUGACGUCAAGUCGUCAUGGCCCUUACGACCAGGGCUACACACGUGCUACAAUGGCGCAUACAAAGAGAAGCGACCUCGCGAGAGCAAGCGGACCUCAUAAAGUGCGUCGUAGUCCGGAUUGGAGUCUGCAACUCGACUCCAUGAAGUCGGAAUCGCUAGUAAUCGUGGAUCAGAAUGCCACGGUGAAUACGUUCCCGGGCCUUGUACACACCGCCCGUCACACCAUGGGAGUGGGUUGCAAAAGAAGUAGGUAGCUUAACCUUCGGGAGGGCGCUUACCACUUUGUGAUUCAUGACUGGGGUGAAGUCCG